rnacentral:rRNA from 1 species
CCAUCGGAUGUGCCCAGAUGGGAUUAGCUAGUAGGUGGGGUAAAGGCUCACCUAGGCGACGAUCCCUAGCUGGUCUGAGAGGAUGACCAGCCACACUGGAACUGAGACACGGUCCAGACUCCUACGGGAGGCAGCAGUGGGGAAUAUUGCACAAUGGGCGCAAGCCUGAUGCAGCCAUGCCGCGUGUAUGAAGAAGGCCUUCGGGUUGUAAAGUACUUUCAGCGGGGAGGAAGGGAGUAAAGUUAAUACCUUUGCUCAUUGACGUUACCCGCAGAAGAAGCACCGGCUAACUCCGUGCCAGCAGCCGCGGUAAUACGGAGGGUGCAAGCGUUAAUCGGAAUUACUGGGCGUAAAGCGCACGCAGGCGGUUUGUUAAGUCAGAUGUGAAAUCCCCGGGCUCAACCUGGGAACUGCAUCUGAUACUGGCAAGCUUGAGUCUCGUAGAGGGGGGUAGAAUUCCAGGUGUAGCGG